rnacentral:rRNA from 1 species
UACGUAGGGUGCAAGCGUUGUCCGGAAUUAUUGGGCGUAAAGAGCUCGUAGGCGGUCUGUCGCGUCGGCUGUGAAAACUCGGGGCUCAACCCCGAGCCUGCAGUCGAUACGGGCAGACUAGAGUGAUGUAGGGGAGACUGGAAUUCCUGGUGUAGCGGUGAAAUGCGCAGAUAUCAGGAGGAACACCGAUGGCGAAGGCAGGUCUCUGGGCAUUAACUGACGCUGAGGAGCGAAAGCAUGGGGAGCGAACAGG